rnacentral:rRNA from 1 species
GAUGAACGCUGGCGGCGUGCCUAAUACAUGCAAGUCGAGCGAACGGACGAGAAGCUUGCUUCUCUGAUGUUAGCGGCGGACGGGUGAGUAACACGUGGAUAACCUACCUAUAAGACUGGGAUAACUUCGGGAAACCGGAGCUAAUACCGGAUAAUAUUUUGAACCGCAUGGUUCAAAAGUGAAAGACGGUCUUGCUGUCACUUAUAGAUGGAUCCGCGCUGCAUUAGCUAGUUGGUAAGGUAACGGCUUACCAAGGCAACGAUGCAUAGCCGACCUGAGAGGGUGAUCGGCCACACCUGAACUGAGACACGGUCCAGACUCCUACGGGGGGCAGCAGUAGGGAAUCUUCCGCAAUGGGCGAAAGCCUGACGGAGCAACGCCGCGUGAGUUAUGAAGGUCUUCGGAUCGUAAAACUCUGUUAUUAGGGAAGAACAUAUGUGUAAGUAACUGUGCACAUCUUGACGGUUCCUAAUCAGAAAGCCACGGCUAACUUCGUG